rnacentral:lncRNA from 1 species
CGCUGAACAAAUUCUGCUGAUCUUGGGUACUACCCACUUGCACUUCUGAUAGUAUGGGUCCCAGCUGGAAAUGGAGUAAGGUCGCAGCAAGAGACAGCCAGACAAAUGGAGAUGCAUGGCCUGCUGGAUAGGGGUCUGGCUUAUUGGGGAAGAAGCAUAUUCCGGAAGGACCAAGGUGUUAUUAUGGAGACAUUCCUGACCUUCACUUGUGCCUCUGUGGCUGUCAUAGUAGAAAUGAAGCAGCCCUCUUGGACUGAACAACUCACUGGCAUCCCAGAGGCUUCCAACAGAGGGCAACAGGGGUUGACUCAUUGUGGGACUUCAAGAAAAUGCUUAUACGAUCAACAGGGAAUGAUGGGACUCAGUCUGCGGUGUGAGAAGCAGAUUCUGCAGGUGUUCUCUCCAAGCCCACACCUCUGGAAAGUAGGACACUGUGAGAACUGAGAGGAGGCUGGCUUGCCACGGCGCAGAGAAAGGGAGUAUUCAAGGUCGCUUGCGGGAGACGCAUUGACUCACUCCUAGGUGAUCUUUCAGGGGAUUGGGUGAGGAAGGCCCAGCUUCCUGGCCUCCCUGGUACCACUCUUAGCAGGUUACCCUACCCCAUUGAUGACACCAACCCCCAGAGUCUGUUCAUGUCCUUUCCGCCCUGUGCCAAUCCCUGGGUGGUUUUGGCCUCUCCCUGGUAAGUGCUCCAUCUUUGCCCAGAGCUCUGUUUUC